UACGUAGGGUGCAAGCGUUGUCCGGAAUUAUUGGGCGUAAAGAGCUCGUAGGUGGUUUGUCGCGUUGUUCGUGAAAACUCACAGCUUAACUGUGGGCGUGCGGGCGAUAAGGGCAGACUGGAGUACUGCAGGGGAGACUGGAAUUCCUGGUGUAGCGGUGGAAUGCGCAGAUAUCAGGAGGAACACCGGUGGCGAAGGCGGGUCUCUGGGCAGUAACUGACGCUGAGGAGCGAAAGCGUGGGGAGCGAACAGG
rnacentral:rRNA from 1 species